rnacentral:rRNA from 1 species
GACGAACGCUGGCGGCACGCCUAACACAUGCAAGUCGAACGGACUUACAAGAGCUUGCUUUUUUAAGUUAGUGGCGGACGGGUGAGUAACACGUGAGCAACCUGCCUCUGAGAGGGGGAUAGCUUCUGGAAACGGAUGGUAAUACCCCAUAAAAUAUAAAUAUCGCAUGAUAGAUAUAUCAAAGAAAUUCGCUCAGAGAUGGGCUCGCGUCUGAUUAGAUAGUUGGUGAGGUAACGGCUCACCAAGUCGACGAUCAGUAGCCGGACUGAGAGGUUGAACGGCCACAGUGGGACUGAGACACGGCCCAGACUCCUACGGGAGGCAGCAGUGGGGAAUAUUGCACAAUGGAGGGAACUCUGAUGCAGCGAUGCCGCGUGGAGGAAGAAGGUUUUCGGAUUGUAAACUCCUUUUAUCAGGGACGAUAAUGACGGUACCUGAAGAAAAAGCUCCGGCUAACUACGUG